GGGUCAGGAGGCUGGUCGUGCCACCGGUACGUACUGGUCUCACUGAUUCCUCCUUCCUGAAGAACCGUAAUGCCACUAAUUUGGUGUUGCGGGGAAACAGGACUGUUACCUUGAAAAAAUUAGAGUGUUUAAAGCAAGCUAACGCUUGAAUACAUUAGCAUGGAAUAAUGAAAUAGGACGAUCGAUCCUAUUUUGUUGGUUUCUAGGAUUGACGUA
rnacentral:rRNA from 1 species